GACGAACGCUGGCGGCGUGCUUAACACAUGCAAGUCGAACGGGUCUGCCCUGUUUUUUGCGGGGUGGGUCAGUGGCGAACGGGUGAGUAACACGUGAGUAACCUGCCCCUCACUUCUGGAUAACCGCUUGAAAGGGUGGCUAAUACGGGGUGUUCUGGCUGUGCCGCAUGGUGUGGCUGGGAAAGAUUCACUUUUGUGGUGUUUUGGUGGGGGAUGGGCUCGCGGCCUAUCAGCUUGUUGGUGGGGUGAUGGCCUGCCAAGGCUUUGACGGGUAGCCGGCCUGAGAGGGUGGGCGGUCACACUGGGACUGAGAUACGGCCCAGACUCCUGCGGGAGGCAGCAGUGGGGGGUAUUGCACAAUGGGCGGAAGCCUUAUGCAGCGACGUCGCGUGAGGGAUGGAGGCCUUCGGGUUGUGAACCUCUUUCGCCGGUGAAGAAGGUCCUGCUCUUUGUGGUGGGGUUGACGGUAGCCGGGUUAUGAAGCGCCGGCUAACUACGUG
rnacentral:rRNA from 1 species